rnacentral:rRNA from 1 species
AACGAACGCUGGCGGCAGGCUUAACACAUGCAAGUCGAGCGCCCCGCCAGGGGUGCGGCAGACGGGUGAGUAGCGCGUGGGAACGUACCCUUAUCUUCGGGAUAGCUCCGGGAAACUGGAAUUAAUACCGAAUGUGCCCUUUGGGGGAAAGAUUUAUCGGAUAGGGAUCGGCCCGCGUUGGAUUAGCUAGUUGGUGGGGUAAAGGCCUACCAAGGCGACGUUCCAUAGCUGGUCUGAGAGGCUGAUCAGCCACAUUGGAGCUGAGACACGGCCCAAACUCCUACGGGAGGCAGCAGUGGGGAGUAUUGGGGGAUGGGGGCAAGCCUAAUCCAGCCAUGCCGGGUGAGAGAUGAAGGCCUUAGUGUUGUAAAGCUCUUUCACCGGAGAAGAUAAUGACGGUAACCGGAGAAGAAGCCCCGGCUAACUUCGUG